AUGAACGCUAGCUACAGGCUUAACACAUGCAAGUCGAGGGGCAUCAGGAAGAAAGCUUGCUUUCUUUGCUGGCGACCGGCGCACGGGUGAGUAACACGUAUCCAACCUGCCCUUUACUCGGGGAUAGCCUUUCGAAAGAAAGAUUAAUACCCGAUGGCAUAAUGAUUCCGCAUGGUUUCAUUAUUAAAGGAUUCCGGUAAAGGAUGGGGAUGCGUUCCAUUAGGUUGUUGGUGAGGUAACGGCUCACCAAGCCUUCGAUGGAUAGGGGUUCUGAGAGGAAGGUCCCCCACAUUGGAACUGAGACACGGUCCAAACUCCUACGGGAGGCAGCAGUGAGGAAUAUUGGUCAAUGGGCGCUAGCCUGAACCAGCCAAGUAGCGUGAAGGAUGAAGGCUCUAUGGGUCGUAAACUUCUUUUAUAUAAGAAUAAAGUGCAGUAUGUAUACUGUUUUGUAUGUAUUAUAUGAAUAAGGAUCGGCUAACUCCGUGCCAGCAGCCGCGGUAAUACGGAGGAUCCGAGCGUUAUCCGGAUUUAUUGGGUUUAAAGGGAGCGUAGGUGGACUGGUAAGUCAGUUGUGAAAGUUUGCGGCUCAACCGUAAAAUUGCAGUUGAUACUGUCAGUCUUGAGUACAGUAGAGGUGGGCGGAAUUCGUGGUGUAGCGGUGAAAUGCUUAGAUAUCACGAAGAACUCCGAUUGCGAAGGCAGCUCACUGGACUGCAACUGACACUGAUGCUCGAAAGUGUGGGUAUCAAACAGGAUUAGAUACCCUGGUAGUCCACACAGUAAACGAUGAAUACUCGCUGUUUGCGAUAUACAGUAAGCGGCCAAGCGAAAGCAUUAAGUAUUCCACCUGGGGAGUACGCCGGCAACGGUGAAACUCAAAGGAAUUGACGGGGGCCCGCACAAGCGGAGGAACAUGUGGUUUAAUUCGAUGAUACGCGAGGAACCUUACCCGGGCUUAAAUUGCAGUGGAAUGAUGUGGAAACAUGUCAGUGAGCAAUCACCGCUGUGAAGGUGCUGCAUGGUUGUCGUCAGCUCGUGCCGUGAGGUGUCGGCUUAAGUGCCAUAACGAGCGCAACCCUUAUCUUUAGUUACUAACAGGUUAUGCUGAGGACUCUAGAGAGACUGCCGUCGUAAGAUGUGAGGAAGGUGGGGAUGACGUCAAAUCAGCACGGCCCUUACGUCCGGGGCUACACACGUGUUACAAUGGGGGGUACAGAAGGCAGCUAGCGGGUGACCGUAUGCUAAUCCCAAAAGCCUCUCUCAGUUCGGAUCGAAGUCUGCAACCCGACUUCGUGAAGCUGGAUUCGCUAGUAAUCGCGCAUCAGCCACGGCGCGGUGAACACGUUCCCGGGCCUUGUACACACCGCCCGUCAAGCCAUGGGAGCCGGGGGUACCUGAAGUACGUAACCGCAAGGAUCGUCCUAGGGUAAAACUGGUGACUGGGGCU
rnacentral:rRNA from 1 species